UACGUAGGGUGCAAGCGUUAAUCGGAAUUACUGGGCGUAAAGCGUGCGCAGGCGGUUUUGUAAGUCAGAUGUGAAAUCCCCGAGCUCAACUUGGGAACUGCGUUUGAAACUACAAGACUAGAAUAUGUCAGAGGGGGGUAGAAUUCCACGUGUAGCAGUGAAAUGCGUAGAGAUGUGGAGGAAUACCAAUGGCGAAGGCAGCCCCCUGGGUUAACACUGACGCUCAUGCACGAAAGCGUGGGGAGCAAACAGG
rnacentral:rRNA from 1 species